CCAAGGAGUCUAACAUGUGCGCGAGUCAUUGGGCUUCCCGAAACCCAAAGGCGCAAUGAAAGUGAAGGCAGCCUCCGGCUUUGCCCAGGCAGGAUCCCGUCGCGUGCGGCGGGCGCACUGCCGGCCCGUCCCGACAGCAUCGUCUGCGGGGCGGCGCAAGAGCGUACACGUUGGGACCCGAAAGAUGGUGAACUAUGCCUGAGUAGGACGAAGUCAGAGGAAACUCUGAUGGAGGUCCGCAGCGAUUCUGACGUGCAAAUCGAUCGUCAAACUUGGGUAUAGGGGCGAAAGACUAAUCGAACCAUCUA
rnacentral:rRNA from 1 species